GCCCCGGGCCCCCCUUAGGUUUUUUUAGGGGUUUUUUAACGCUCAGAACGAACGCUGGCGGCAGGCUUAUUAACAUUUCAAAAUGAGCGGGCCCUUCGGGGUCAGCGGCAGACGGGUGAGUAACGCGUGGGAACGUACCAUUUGCUACGGAAUAACUCAGGGAAACUUGUGCUAAUACCGUAUGAGCCCCCCUUUAAAAUUUCAGGAAUCAUAAAAUGCCCUGGCAUUUUAUGGGGGGGAAAGAUUUAUCGGCAAAUGAUCGGCCCGCGUUGGAUUAGCUAGUUGGUGGGGUAAAGGCCUACCAAGGCGACGAUCCAUAGCUGGUCUGAGAGGAUGAUCAGCCACACUGGGACUGAGACACGGCCCAGACUCCUACGGGAGGCAGCAGUGGGGAAUAUUGGACAAUGGGCGCAAGCCUGAUCCAGCCAUGCCGCGUGAGUGAUGAAGGCCCUAGGGUUGUAAAGCUCUUUCACCGGUGAAGAUAAUGACGGUAACCGGAGAAGAAGCCCCGGCUAACUUCGUGCCAGCAGCCGCGGUAAUACGAAGGGGGCUAGCGUUGUUCGGAUUUACUGGGCGUAAAGCGCACGUAGGCGGGCUAAUAAGUCAGGGGUGAAAUCCCGGGGCUCAACCCCGGAACUGCCUUUGAUACUGUUAGUCUUGAGUAUGGUAGAGGUGAGUGGAAUUCCGAGUGUAGAGGUGAAAUUCGUAGAUAUUCGGAGGAACACCAGUGGCGAAGGCGGCUCACUGGACCAUUACUGACGCUGAGGUCGAAAAGAAGCC
rnacentral:rRNA from 1 species